UACGUAGGCGGCAAGCGUUGUCCGGAGUUAUUGGGCGUAAAGCGCGCGCAGGCGGUGCGGUAAGUCCAUGGUGAAAGCGCCCGGCUUAACUGGGCGAGCGCCGUGGGGACUGCCACGCUGGAGGGAAGCAGAGGCGAGUGGAAUUCCGGGUGUAGUGGUGAAAUGCGUAGAGAUCCGGAGGAACACCAGUGGCGAAGGCGGCUCGCUGGGCUUUACCUGACGCUGAGGCGCGAAAGCGUGGGGAGCGAACCGG
rnacentral:rRNA from 1 species